AAGAAGCAAGACCGUGAGGUGGAGCAAAACUCAAAAACUUAGUCUCAGUUCGGAUUGUAGGCUGAAACUCGCCUACAUGAAGCUGGAGUUGCUAGUAAUCGCGAAUCAGCAUGUCGCGGUGAAUAUGUUCCCGGGCCUUGUACACACCGCCCGUCACACCAUGAGAGUUGGCAAUACCCAACGUACGUGAUCUAACCCGCAAGGGAGGAAGCGUCCUAAGGUAGGGUCAGCGAUUGGGGUGAAGUCGUAACAAGGUAGC
rnacentral:rRNA from 1 species